rnacentral:ncRNA from 1 species
UUAAACGCGGUGAAGAGAAGAGUAAAUAAAUAAGCUUUGCACAGAGAGCCCGGUAGCUGAAAACGGGUCAAAGUGAAUUUGUUGAACCAAGUCUCAGAGAGGCAUAUCGGAACAUUUAAGGGAUGAUAUGACGGGUGCUCCUGUUACAGAGCUAAGGUAUGAUUGUACCUGAUGAGAUUGAUGUGGUGACAUGUCAAUAAACUGGGGUGGCAGCGCGAUAAAAACUCGCCCCCAAG